rnacentral:rRNA from 1 species
GACGAACGCUGGCGGCGUGCUUAACACAUGCAAGUCGAACGGAUCUUUUCCUGGCACUUGUGUCUUGGAUUGGUUAGUGGCGAACGGGUGAGUAACACGUGAGGAACCUGCCUUGGGGACGGGGAUAACAGCUAGAAAUGGUUGCUAAUACUCGAUGUCCACAUGUGGCCGCAUGGUUGUGUGUGGAAAGGAUUUUUCGCUUUGAGAGGGUCUCGCGGGCUAUCAGCUUGUUGGUGAGGUAAUGGCUCACCAAGGCGACGACGGCUAGCUGGUCUGAGAGGACGACCAGCCACACUGGGACUGAGACACGGCCCAGACUCCUACGGGAGGCAGCAGUGGGGAAUCUUGCGCAAUGGGCGGAAGCCUGACGCAGCAACGCCGCGUGUGGGAUGAAGGCUUUCGGGUUGUAAACCACUUUCAGCGGGAACGAAAUUGACGGUACCCGCAGAAGAAGCACCGGCCAACUACGUGCCAGCAGCCGCCGUAACAC